rnacentral:rRNA from 1 species
UGCAGGGGGGUGCGAGCGUUGUCCGGAAUCACUGGGCGUAAGGGCGCGUAGGUGGCGUGAUAAGGGUGUGGUGAAAGCCCGGGGCUCAACCCCGGGUCUGCCAUGCCGACUGUCAGGCUCGAGUACUGUAGGGGCAGGCGGAAUUCCGGGUGUAGCGGUGGAAUGCGUAGAGAUCCGGAGGAAGACCGGUGGUGAAGGCGGACUGCUGGGCAGUUACUGACACUGAGGCGCGACAGCGUGGGGAGCAAACAGG